AGCGAACGCUGGCGGCAGGCCUAACACAUGCAAGUCGAACGAACCUUUCGGGGUUAGUGGCGGACGGGUGAGUAACACGUGGGAACGUGCCUUUAGGUUCGGAAUAACUCAGGGAAACUUGUGCUAAUACCGAAUGUGCCCUUCGGGGGAAAGAUUUAUCGCCUUUAGAGCGGCCCGCGUCUGAUUAGCUAGUCGGUUGAGGUAAUGGCUCACCAAGGCGACGAUCAGUAGCUGGUCUGAGAGGAUGAUCAGCCACAUUGGGACUGAGACACGGCCCAAACUCCUACGGGAAGCAGCAGUGGGGAAUCUUGCGCAAUGGGCGAAAGCCUGACGCAGCCAUGCCGCGUGAAUGAUGAAGGUCUUAGGAUUGUAAAAUUCUUUCACCGGGGACGAUAAUGACGGUACCCGGAGAAGAAGCCCCGGCUAACUUCGUG
rnacentral:rRNA from 1 species